UAACCUCAGCAAAGUUGGUAGCGUGU
rnacentral:piRNA from 1 species